rnacentral:rRNA from 1 species
UACAGAGGGGGCAAGCGUUAUUCGGAAUUAUUGGGCGUAAAGGGCGCGUAGGCGGCCUGGCAAGUGGAUGGUGAAAUCCCUCGGCUUAACCGAGGAACUGCCAUCCAGACUGCUUGGCUUGAGACCGGGAGAGGUGAGUGGAAUUCCCAGUGUAGCGGUGAAAUGCGCAGAUAUCAGGAGGAACACCAAUGGCGAAGGCAGCUCGCUGGGACGGUACUGACGCUGAGGCGCGAAAGCGUGGGGAGCAAACAGG